rnacentral:rRNA from 1 species
CUACGGGUGGCAGCAGUGGGGAAUAUUGGACAAUGGGGGCAACCCUGAUCCAGCCAUGCCGCGUGUGUGAAGAAGGCCUUUUGGUUGUAAAGCACUUUAAGCGAGGAGGAGGCUACUGGUACUAAUAUUACCAGCUAGUGGACGUUACUCGCAGAAUAAGCACCGGCUAACUCUGUGCCAGCAGCCGCGGUAAUACAGAGGGUGCGAGCGUUAAUCGGAAUUACUGGGCGUAAAGCGCGCGUAGGCGGUUUGUUAAGUCGGAUGUGAAAUCCCCGGGCUCAACCUGGGAAUUGCAUUCGAUACUGGCAAGCUAGAGUAGUGGAGAGGAAGGUAGAAUUCCAGGUGUAGCGGUGAAAUGCGUAGAGAUCUGGAGGAAUACCGAUGGCGAAGGCAGCCUUCUGGCCUAAUACUGACGCUGAGGUGCGAAAGCAUGGGGAGCAAACAGGAUUAGAUACCCGUGUAGUC